rnacentral:rRNA from 1 species
AUACGGAGGAUCCGGGCGUUAUCCGGAUUUAUUGGGUUUAAAGGGUGCGCAGGCGGGAGAUUAAGUCGGCGGUGAAAUUUUGCAGCUCAACUGUAAAAGUGCCUUCGAAACUGGUUUCCUUGAGUGUAGAUGAAGUAGGCGGAAUUUGUGGUGUAGCGGUGAAAUGCAUAGAUAUCACGAGGAACUCCGAUUGCGCAGGCAGCUUACUAAACUACUACUGACGCUCAGGCACGAAGGCGUGGGGAUCAAACAGGAUUAGAUACCCUGGUAGUCCACGCAGUAAACGAUGAUUACUAGCUGUUUGCGAUACAAUGUAAGCGGCUGAGCGAAAGCGUUAAGUAAUCCACCUGGGGAGUACGUUCGCAAGAAUGAAACUCAAAUGAAUUGACGGGG